CCUACGGGAGGCAGCAGUGAGGAAUAUUGGUCAAUGGACGAGAGUCUGAACCAGCCAAGUAGCGUGAAGGAUGACUGCCCUCUGGGUUGUAAACUUCUUUUAUAUGGGAGUAAAAUGUUCCACGUGUGGGAUUUUGUAUGUACCAUAUGAAUUAGGAUCGGCUAACUCCGUGCCAGCCGCCGCGGUGAAACGGAGGAUCCGAGCGUUAUCCGGAUUUAUUGGGUUUAAAGGGAGCGUAGGUGGGUUGUUAAGUCAGUUGUGAAAGUUUGCGGGUCAACCGUAAAAUUGCAUUGGAUACUGGCAGUCUAGAGUAAAGUAGAGGUGGGCGGAAUUCGAGGUGUAGCGGUGAAAUGCUUAGAUAUAACGAAGAACACCGAUUGCGAAGGCAGUUUACUGGAUUGCUACUGACACUGAGGCUCGAAAGUGUGGGUAGCAAACAGGAUUAGAUACCCGAGUAGUC
rnacentral:rRNA from 1 species